CCUACGGGAGGCAGCAGUGAGGAAUAUUGGUCAAUGGGCGGAAGCCUGAACCAGCCAAGUCGCGUGAGGGACUAAGGCCCUCCGGGUCGUAAACCUCUUUUGCCGGGGAUCAGUGCCCAGCUCGCGCGCUGGGAGGGAGCGUACCCGGAGAAAAAGCAUCGGCUAACUCCGGGCCAGCAGCCGCGUUAAUACGGAGGUGGCAAGCGUUAUCCGGCUUUAUUGGUCGUAAAGGGAACGCAGGCGGUCUGUUAAGUCCGUUGUGAAAGCCUGCGGUCUAACCUGAGUAGUGCAUUUGAAAAUGCGUGACUUGAGUGCAGAAGAGGAGAGUGGAACUCGAGGUGUAGCGGUGAAAUGCGUAGAUAUAUGGAAGAACACCAGUGGCGAAAGCGGCUCUCUGGUCUGUAACUGACGCUGAGGUACGAAAGCGUGGGUAGCAAACAGGAUUAGAUACCCGGGUAGUC
rnacentral:rRNA from 1 species